CACACGCCCAGGCACAGGCAGCCGGCCCGAGAAAUUGUGAAUGUCUUGGCUUUGAGUUUAUCUGCGUAUCCUGGCGAAGUUUGGAUGCAGAGAACUUGGAGCUGUUGUUUUCUACCAGACACUAGGAUCCCUGAGAGAGGUGUCAUUCUUUCGCGCUGCACACACCUUCCUCCACGUGGUGAAGAUACAUCGCUCCUGACAGUAGAGAUGGGGUUUCACCGUGUUAACCAGGAUGGUCUCAAUCUCCUGACCUCGUGAUCCGCCCACCUUGUCCUCCCAAAGUGCUGGGAUUACAGGCGUGAGCCACCGCGCCCAGCCGAACUUGAGUCUUCUUAAUCAAGCCUCAUGCCUGACUGGACACUGAAAAAGAGGUGAAGAGAUGAGGCGAUAGAACAAAAGAACAGAAAGAUAAUGAAGCUGAGACUAACAUAAUUAUGUAUGCAGCCACAAAUGGAGCACAAAGCAAUUACUGCUUGUGGGAAUUUGAGAGAUGCUCUUUGAAGAGGUGUGAGGGAAUCAGUAAUACUUGCAGUGACUUUUAAGGAGGUGGAGUGUGCUGAUGAAGAUGCCACAAAGAACUGAUGGGAAGUUAUUCCUCUCCCCAACUGCUAUUGUAUCCUUCCUGUAGUGCUGUCUCUGCUUUUUGCAUCUUGCCCAGUAUAUUAUGACACAAAUAAAAAUUCUCUUUUCAUCAUCUUGCAACUUGU
rnacentral:lncRNA from 1 species